GGCGUCGCAGGCAAUGCUAAAUGACUGUCGCUAGCCAUGGAGAUAUUGACAUGAGUCACAAAGACGCAACAUUCCAUCUUGACAAUCAGACGAUUCAGCUUGAGAGAUUUGUGAUUGAAAAUGUGAUGGGGCAAAACAAAUAAGGCUGCAGUUAAAUUUUAAUCUGACUCAAAUUUUACUUUUUAAGAAAUACACUUGUUUUUGUUGUUUAAUCUUUUAAGUAUUGAGUUGUUUCCUAACACACUAACUUAUGAUGACAAGAAAUGUAUUUAUUUGAUUUCAGAUUC